AGGGUUAUUUAUAUUUUAAUUUAUUCUUGGAUUAACAUGCAAAUUGGCUACAAGCCUAAUAAGCAUUUAAAUAAAAAUUCACAAAAGUAAUUUGGGCAUAAUCCAUCUUCAGUUGGCAUGAAAUGUCUACCAUAAUCUAAGGUGGUAGCACACUGCAUCUUCCUUAAGCAUGGACUAUCUUAUAUUUACUUAGUGAUCAUGAAGAACAGUUGUACGAACAUCAUACUUAAAAUCACAGAAAUUAAAUAUGAUUCAAAA
rnacentral:lncRNA from 1 species